ACAUUUUAAUAAAAAGGAACUUGAAAUUGCCUAUGAUUUGAUGAUUUCAAAAACUAAUCAGGAAUUACACAAAGAAAGAUCACUCAGAUGACAAAAGCAAUGGUCUCUGAUUCAUCAGGAGGCCUGAGUUGGAAGCAAGACUGAUACUAAAUCAUCGUGUGACCUUUGAUCAUUUUGCAUAUGAGGAAGCUGAGGUAAACAGCAUUAAGCAACUUGCCAAUGGUCACACAGCUGGUAAGCA
rnacentral:lncRNA from 1 species